rnacentral:tRNA from 1 species
AUUUAAAUAGUUUAAAUAAAAUAUUGAUUUGUGGUGUCAAAGAUGUAUAAAAUACUUUAAGUU